rnacentral:rRNA from 1 species
AUUGAACGCUGGCGGCAUGCUUUACACAUGCAAGUCGAACGGUAACAGGGUGCUUGCACCGCUGACGAGUGGCGAACGGGUGAGUAAUGCGUCGGAACGUGCCGAGUAGUGGGGGAUAACGCAGCGAAAGUUGUGCUAAUACCGCAUACGUACUGAGGUAGAAAGUGGGGGACCUUCGGGCCUCACGCUAUUCGAGCGGCCGACGUCUGAUUAGCUAGUAGGUGAGGUAAAGGCUCAACUAGGCGACGAUCGGUAGCGGGUCUGAGAGGAUGAUCCGCCACACUGGGACUGAGACACGGCCCAGACUCCUACGGGAGGCAGCAGUGGGGAAUUUUGGACAAUGGGCGAAAGCCUGAUCCAGCCAUGCCGCGUGUCUGAAGAAGGCCUUCGGGUUGUAAAGGACUUUUGUCAGGGAGGAAAUCCCUAGUGCUAAUAACACUGGGGGAUGACAGUACCUGAAGAAUAGGCACCGGCUAACUACGUGCCAGCAGCCGCCGCGG